AUUGAACGCUGGCGGCAGGCCUAACACAUGCAAGUCGAACGGUAACAGGAAGCAGCUUGCUGCUUCGCUGACGAGUGGCGGGCGGGUGAGUAAUGUCUGGGAAACUGCCUGAUGGAGGGGGAUAACUACUGGAAACGGUAGCUAAUACCGCAUAACGUCGCAAGACCAAAGAGGGGGACCUUAGGGCCUCUUGCCAUCGGCUGUGCCCUGAUGGGAUUAGCUAGUAGGUGGGGUAACGGCUCACCUAGGCGACGAUCCAUAGCUGGUCUGAGAGGAUGACCAGCCACACUGGAACUGAGACACGGUCCAGACUCCUACGGGAGGCAGCAGUGGGGAAUAUUGCACAAUGGGCGCAAGCCUGAUGCAGCCAUGCCGCGUGUAUGAAGAAGGCCUUCGGGUUGUAAAGUACUUUCAGCGGGGAGGAAGGGAGGAAAGUUAAUACCUUUGCUCAUUGACGUUACCCGCAGAAGAAGCGCCGGCUAACUCCGUG
rnacentral:rRNA from 1 species